AUUGAACGCUGGCGGCAGGCCUAACACAUGCAAGUCGAACGGUAGCGCAGAGAGCUUGCUCUCGGGUGACGAGUGGCGGACGGGUGAGUAACGUCUGGGAAACUGCCCGAUGGAGGGGGAUAACUACUGGAAACGGUAGCUAAUACCGCAUAACGUCGCAAGACCAAAGUGGGGGACCUUCGGGCCUCACACCAUCGGAUGUGCCCAGAUGGGAUUAGCUAGUAGGUGGGGUAAUGGCUCACCUAGGCGACGAUCCCUAGCUGGUCUGAGAGGAUGACCAGCCACACUGGAACUGAGACACGGUCCAGACUCCUACGGGAGGCAGCAGUGGGGAAUAUUGCACAAUGGGCGCAAGCCUGAUGCAGCCAUGCCGCGUGUAUGAAGAAGGCCUUCGGGUUGUAAAGUACUUUCAGCGGGGAGGAAGGCGGUGGAGUUAAUAACUUCACCGAUUGACGUUACCCGCAGAAGAAGCACCGGCUAACUCCGUGCCAGCCGCCGCUGUAA
rnacentral:rRNA from 1 species